rnacentral:lncRNA from 1 species
UUUUAUCUUCUUCGGCGAUACCACGAGAUUUUGCUGGGCACAAGACUUAAUUUUCUCAACCAUUCAGCUUACAAGCCAAAGCUCAAGGAAACUGGGAGGCAAUGUUUGGACCCGAUUUUACACUCUUGGCCCAAGCAAUUGAGGUCAUUGAAUGAGCAGAAUUUUAGACCGUUGAACGACAAAAUGGUUGAAAUGAUUUUAAAUUAUUAUUGAGAAAUAAUAUUAUGAUUUCAAUCAUGAUACUAUCUCUUAGUAAUAUAUUAAAUUAUUUAAACCUAACAUUAGUCAAUCCAAUUGGUUUGGGAUAAAGGAGGAUAAGGACUGAAUUCGUAUUCCAUAGCCAAAAACCAUGAAUGUAGGUUGUGUUUUGGAUAAUAGAGGGAUUUGUUGAUCAUCAUCAGGAUGGGAUAAAGCUACAAGUGGGAUUUGAUAAACAAGAUUGGUGAUGAUUAUGACCAAGUAGUAAUCCUGAUGCUGCAUACAUUCCAAGUGGUGCACGUGAGUUUAGAGAUAAAAGGAUUGGAUUCAUGCAUGUACAUAGGGAAUUAGGAGACUAUUUUCCAUACAAUUCAUACAUGUAGAAUCGUAGAUGAUCUAGUGAAUGGGUGAUAAGAUAUGGCGCAUGGUGCCUAGGAAUUUGAAGUUGGCUACAAUUCUAAAUACGAGUCUUAUCAGGAGACUGGUGUAUCUAGUCUGAAUACAAGGAAAAUGCAGUCGCCAACUAUUCCAGGAUAUCAAGAUGAUGACAAAGACUUCUAUGAUAACUAUCUCAGAUGAGUGUUCUACUUUGGGCCAGAAUUGCACAGGUUGGCUAGUAAAUACUUCACUGCUAUAUAUACAAGGCAAUGUGAAAUGUGCAAUGCCCCUCCAAUUUAACAUACAAACUGUCAUGCGCAAACUCUCGCUCUACACAAAACUUCUCAACAACCUUGAGAUUUUUUAUUUUCUUUUUCCGCCAACACAUCUUCAAUUUGGAUAAAUAGCACUAUGAAGGCAACCGGUGGCAUCUUCAGUUUGGAUAAACAGCACCGUUGGCGUAGAAUUAGUCAACCACGGAGCACCUUCAGUUUGGAUAAACAGCACUGCAUUGAGGCCUACUGGUUACCUAUCCAAGUCUCGGUCCAGAAGGAUUUUCGAGUCCUUAUUGGCAGAGGUCAUCCCAUUAGGUUUCUCGGCGAAGUGAGAUGUUACAGAUUACUGGGCUCGGCACAUUGAACACUGAGUUGGUUUAUGAUUGGAUAUUCUUGAAUUUACCUCAAAUUACCCUCAAUCCAUCAAAAACCCUAGAAUUGGAUAUUCUUGAUUCGACCUCAAAACAAACUCCGACACCUCAACCACUACUUGGGCUUUGUCUAUUAGUGGUGGUGGUCGACAAAAUUGACUUCAGGAAUGGAGAAUCACCACCGUGGAGCCAUCGCACCCACCGGUGCAGUUCUUUGGGAAAUAGGAGCCAAACCUUGUCAAUUUUGAGUGGAAAUGGAAGAGGGAGGGUCGUGGAGUUGUUUCCAGGUGGUGGCUUUCCUUGAUUUUCCGAAGAAACCCUGGAAAAGCCGUUGAAUUUCUUGCCUCCAACUUUCCUGGGAGCUUUCUAAAUAUAAGGAUAAUUACCAUUUUACCCUUAUAUUUAACCUUUAAUUUUUCCUUCGUUAAAACUCUGUUUCAUAAACGGUUUUCGCCUACGCGCUUGUAGGAUAUACCUCUAUCCAAUUAUGCCAAGAAAUGCAAUGAAGCAUAUAAGGAUAAAAUAUAUCCUCGUAUAAUUAUGUUUAGCCAACUAGGGCAUUUUCGUCUUUUCACUUAUCGAAAAAUUAUACACCGUAAAUAUAAAUGUGUCGUAACUCUGAAUAUGACUAUAAAAUACGUAAUUAAUAAUAAAGUCUAGGAAAGGGAUUUCACAUUUCCCCCAUUUGAAUUUCAUAACCAUAAAUCUAUUUAUCUUCGGUUUCCUCCCUAUAGAUAUAAAAUGAAAAUUCACGUUAUAGUUCUAAAAUAUUCAAGGUAUUACAUUAAAAGAUGAAAAUGCCCCUAGUUGGCUAAACAUAAUUAUACAAGGAUGUAUUUUAUCUUUAUAUGCUUUGUUGUAUUUCUUGACAUAUUUGGAUAGAGGUCAAUCCUACGAGCACAUAUGCAAAAACCGUUUACAAAACGAAGUUUUAACGAAGGAGAAAUUAACGGUUAAAUACAAGGGUAAAAUGGUAAUUAUCUCUAUAACUCUGAAAAUGGUACCAGGUAGAAUAUCCUGUAAAUAAAAAUUUAAUUUUGCACAGUAAACUAGUCAAAUGAGCUAGUCAACUAGUUACUAGUUAGUCAGUGAUAUAAAGAGUAAUUGCAAUAACAAAUCCUAAUUGACCAUUCUGUCCAACUAAUCAGAGUCUGCCCAGAUUAGUUUCACAAAAAUAAUUCCUAAACUUGAACACAUUUACAUACCAGUUCAUUAUACAAACAGCAAUGACAAAGCAAUUAUGAAACAAAGUAUGCUGGAUUGACUAGUCAAGCUGACCAGUCAACUAAGUACAGAUUCGUCAAUUAAUCAAAUGUAAAUUUACGAAUCAAACUUAGUUCACUACAAGUUAUCCUAGCCAACAACAAUUCAGUUCAUUGCUCAUAAUAUGGACUGUAAACUUGGUAGCUAACACAUAUCAAAAAACAACUCAUAGGAUGCAUGAAACAUAUGCAAGCAAGUUUAAGAGACAAGGAGCACAAGAAGUUUUUGGCCGGAAAAACCCACCUCUGGGUUAAAAAACCGGAGACUCUCCAUUGAGUCCAAACUACUAGUGUAAACAAGGUUCAUACAAAGAUCACACAAGCUUAAUUCCUAGAUCCCUAUCUAUGAAGCACCUUUGUGCAACCUUGCCUUACACGAGAUGAACUCCUUCAGUCUUCACGAAGUGGCAGCUCCUUCUGAGCUUAUCACCUUAUGGCAUCGAGAACCAACACAACCAAUGCAAAUGAUAUGAUAAUGAUGGUUAUGAAAAAUCUGGAUUUAAUGACCAGUCAGCUUCUAGACAAAUACUUCAAGGAAGAAAUUGAUGAGAAUCCAAAACAGGUCAGUUUAAAGAUUUGAAACUUGAAGAAAUUGACCACAAAAUUAAAACAAAACCAUGAAGACAAGGUACCCUAAUAUGCAGUGAUUGGGUGUUUGACACAUGAACAUGCUUUUGUGGCUAGGGUUUCAAUGAAGAACACAAGAGGUAGCUCAAAGCUAAAAUCAUCUUUUUUCUGAAAAUGUAAAACUCCUAGCCAAAACAAAUGAGCAUAUAAGAAGAUUUGAACAAGCAUUUUCAGAGAUAGAUUCAUAAAUAUUCAAAGAAAAACAUUACCCAAAAAAAUAUUUGAUGCUUCUAGGGGAUUUGGGAUAGAGAUGAAAAACUAUGUCUCUCUCUAAAGUUAAUCUAUCUCAACAAAAAAGGAUGAAAACCCUAACUAAGGUUAUAUAGACAAAUAUGAUUUUUGCACAUCCAACAAGAACAAAAACCACUUGUCAACCCAGCAGACAAUCUGAGCAGAUCAAUGGUCAGAAACAGACCACCAGCAAAAAGGUGUUAGUCAGUCCAUGUGGGAUGUCUUAAUUUAUGUGCCCAAACAGCUGGAAGUCAGCGCGCAAAACUGACUAUACAAUCAAACUAGACAGAAUGCAACACAAAUAGAGAUAUGAAAUGCACAUGCAUGAACAAACCUUUUAUGAUGAUAAUUUUCCUCAACCAAUGCCUUUGGAUGCAAAAUCCAGCAAGAUAAACUCAUAAAAGAGUUGAAUAUUCAAAGACUAUCUAAGAGCAUGUGUGGUAUCAUUUACAACUUUAACAAGGAAAACCAAGCAAAUAAAUUUAGACUUUACAACCUGGAAGGCUCCAAGAAAGUUGGAGAACCUUCCCGUGGGAGAUAAGUCACGUGGGUGGCUGUGAUUUGGGG